AUUAUCUAUUCCAUGAGGUGCGGUCGCGGCCCUCGGCGGGAGCAACAGCUACCGUCGGGCGGUAGAGGUAACACUUUCACGCGCCGCAUGUCUGAAUCCUUUUUUUACNAGCACCUUUCGUUCUCCUUCGGCGGGGCAACCUGCCGUUGGAACCUAUCAAAACCUUUUUUUGCAUCUAGCAUUACCUGUUCUGAUACAAACAAUCGUUACAACUUUCAACAAUGGAUCUCUUGGCUCUGGCAUCGAUGAAGAACGCAGCGAAAUGCGAUAAGUAGUGUGAAUUGCAGAAUUCAGUGAAUCAUCNAAUCUUUGAACGCACAUUGCGCCCCUUGGUAUUCCAUGGGGCAUGCCUGUUCGAGCGUCAUCUACACCCUCAAGCUCUGCUUGGUGUUGGGCGUCUGUCCCGCCUCUGCGCGCGGACUCNCCCCAAAUUCAUUGGNAGCGGUCCUUGCCUCCUCUCGCGCAGCACAUUGCGCUUCUCGAGGUGCGCGGCCCGCGUCCACGAAGCAACAUUACCGUCUUUGACCUCGGAUCACGUCCCAUUACCCCUUGGGGAGCAAAAGAAACCAACAGGGAUUGCCCUAGUAACGGCGAGUGAAGCGGCAACAGCUCAAAUUUGAAAUCUGGCUCUCUUUGGGGGUCCGAGUUGUAAUUUGCAGAGGAUGCUUUGGCAUUGGCGGCGGUCUAAGUUCCUUGGAACAGGACAUCACAGAGGGUGAGAAUCCCGUACGUGGUCGCCUGCCUUUGCCGUGUAAAGCUCCUUCGACGAGUCGAGUUGUUUGGGAAUGCAGCUCUAAAUGGGAGGUAAAUUUCUUCUAAAGCUAAAUACCGGCCAGAGACCGAUAGCGCACAAGUAGAGUGAUCGAAAGAUGAAAAGUACUUUGGAAAGAGAGUCAAAAAGCACGUGAAAUUGUUGAAAGGGAAGCGCUUGCAGCCAGACUUGCCCGCAGUUGCUCACCUAGGCUUUGGCCUGGGGCACUCUUCUGCGGGCAGGCCAGCAUCAGUUUGGGCGGUUGGAUAAAGGCCUCUGUCACGUAUCUUCCUUCGGGAUGACCUUAUAGGGGAGGCGUAAUGCAACCAGCCCGGACUGAGGUCCGCGCAUCUGCUAGGAUGCUGGCGUAAUAUGUGUAAGCGGCCCGUCUUAAAAC
rnacentral:rRNA from 1 species